rnacentral:rRNA from 1 species
GAUGAACGCUGGCGGCGUGCCUAAUACAUGCAAGUCGAGCGAACAGACGAGGAGCUUGCUCCCCUGACGUUAGCGGCGGACGGGUGAGUAACACGUGGAUAACCUACCUAUAAGACUGGGAUAACUUCGGGAAACCGGAGCUAAUACCGGAUAAUAUAUUGAACCGCAUGGUUCAAUAGUGAAAGACGGUUUUGCUGUCACUUAUAGAUGGAUCCGCGCCGCAUUAGCUAGUUGGUAAGGUAACGGCUUACCAAGGCAACGAUGCGUAGCCGACCUGAGAGGGUGAUCGGCCACACUGGAACUGAGACACGGUCCAGACUCCUACGGGAGGCAGCAGUAGGGAAUCUUCUGCAAUGGGCGAAAGCCUGACGGAGCAACGCCGCGUGAGUGAUGAAGGUCUUCGGAUCGUAAAACUCUGUUAUUAGGGAAGAACAAAUGUGUAAGUAACUAUGCACGUCUUGACGGUACCUAAUCAGAAAGCCACGGCUAACUACGUG